rnacentral:rRNA from 1 species
UACGAAGGGGGCUAGCGUUGUUCGGAAUACUGGGCGUAAAGCGCACGUAGGCGGAUCGAUCAGUCAGGGGUGAAAUCCCAGGGCUCAACCCUGGAACUGCCUUUGAUACUGUCGAUCUGGAGUAUGGAAGAGGUGAGUGGAAUUCCGAGUGUAGAGGUGAAAUUCGUAGAUAUUGGGAAGAACACCGGUGGCGAAGGCGGCGACCUGGUCCUUUACUGACGUCUGAGGCGCCGAAAGCGUGGGGAGCAA